AACAGUUAAGUGAUGAAAAACAUUUGCACAUAAUCAAACUCAAUUGGAGUAUUUUCGAGUCCAAUUCAAAAUUAAGAGGAAAAACUCAUAAAAGGAAAAGGAGAGAGUUUUUAAUGUGGAUUACAUGGAUCUUUUGCUGUUCGAGGUGUUGCGCAAGAAGCUCCUCUUGGGUCUGAGCAGUCAUAGUAACUUGGAUUUAGGGUCACAAAUUGGAUUCUGCAGCAGUGGAUCUCAACACAUCCAACUACCUAAAACCCUAAUGAUCAGACUUUAUAUACCUCUCAGUUUUUUUAGAUUCUUUUUAUGUAUUUGGUUUGACCUGAUUAAAACCCGUGUUCUUGAAGAAAAAAAAAAACAUGACGAGCUCAUAUUAGAAAAAAAUAGUAUUGUAAUUUGUGUAAUGUAUAUUUUAUAUAAUUAAAGUUCAUGAUAAAUAAAUAUUUCAACUAUAAUAUAACUAAUAAUUAAAUAUUUUUUAAUCUAGAAAUUAUAUUUUAAAUUUAUAAUGAUAUUUAUAUCAGGAUAAAGGUUUAAAUAUGAUUUUCAAUCCUUUAAAGAUAAAGUCAUUUUUAUUUUGGCACUUUAUUUGUUUACUUUUUUUUGGCCUAUAAAAUUUAAUAUCUUUUAAUUUAGUUCCGAGAGUUAUAUUAAGGUAAUAGUAAUAUUUACAUUCUAAUGAUAUGUCAUGUCAAUAAAAUGUUUAAUAGGAUAAUUAUAUGUAAUUUUUAAUAAAUUAUAUUUUUAAAUUCUAAUGAUGGUGUUUUAUAGGAUAAUUAUAUGUAAUUUUUAAGGUAAUUGUUAUAUCAUUUGUUAAUGUUAUUAGUUGGCAAUAGAGACUAAAACAAAAAAAUAUUAAAUUUUAUACGGACUAGAAAAAUAAAGGAUCAAAAUCAAAAUGAUCCUAUUUUUUAGAGAUCAAAAUCUUAUUUAAAUUUAUGAUAAAAUAUUCUUUAAUUAUUGAUAAUUUAUUUUAAAAUAUUUUAAAAUUUAAGUUAGCAUUAAAAAUGAUAACCUGAAAGAGAUAAAAAAAAUCGACAAAAAAAAUCUAAAAGCACUUUUGUUAAAGAAAUACAACUAAAAAUAUUAUUGUUAAAGAAUUACAAUUAAAAAUGUUCUCGAGUCAAAAUAAUUAUUCUAGUUUAUAAAUAAAGAGGGAUUAAUCUUUUGGAGCAAGCUUGAUGAAUUUAAUUUAUAUGCACUCGGAUAUUAAACUUUUUUACAUAUGUAUAUAAUAGAAUUUUUUUUAUAACUACGUCAUCUAGUUUAUUAAUAUAAUAUGAUAGUGGUGAAAUACUACUAUAGAUAAAGAGGGAUUAAUCUUUUGAGGCAAGCUUGAUGAAUUCAAUUUAUAUGCACUCGAAUAUUAAACUUUUUUACAUAUGUAUAUAAUAGAUUUUUUUUUAUAACUACGCCAUCUAGUUUAUUAAUAUAAUAUGAUAGUAGUGAAAUACUAAUAUAGACUUAUAUUUAAAAUAAUGUGAACUCAAAUUAUAAAUAAAAACUAGAUUAUUUUAAUAAUAUCAGAAUGGAGGACGAAAAACGUUGAGCUAGAGUUUCGGAGGAUGAUCCAAACAGUUCGAAGAAGGAAAAAUUUAGAGAAAAUGAAGUGGUGGUUGAUGAAGACAUGGCUCCUGUGUUUAUGGAGAAUGAUGCUCCAUACAAGGAGAAAUUGUUGACGAUGCAUGAGGAGGAGAAAUAUGAGUGGGAUGGGUAUCAUGAGGAGGAGUUGUCUAUAGAGAAGUGGGAGAAAAAUAUCAUGGAGAAGACUCAAGUGGAGGAGAGCAUGUAUUUUCCUUAGAAAAAAUGUAAAUUAUAUUAAACCCAAAAUGAUAUAACAAUAAACGAAAUAUACACAGCCGUUAGAGAAAAUCAAAAGUCUCCCUAAUAUAAUAAGGCCUAUAUCAAGAUGUUAAAACAAAUGCAAGAGAUGCACAUAUAUUUUCUUUGUCCUGAGAUGAGGACAAUGUUUUAAUCCACGCCAAAAAUUGUCUCACUCCCUAAUUCUAUUUUAAUUCAGAGGGUGAAACUUGAUUACAACCUUGUUCAUUGUAGCAAAACUAACUAUCAUUUUUUCAGUGAAAAACAUACACAUCCUAAUAGAUUGUAGCAAGGACGCAACAAGCCUAUAAAUUACAUAAUCAACAGUCAAUCCUCAAAAUUGAUUGUUGAAGUAGAUAAAGAAAUUCCUUCCUCAUACUACCACCAAGCCAAACGAAGAAUAACAUAUAUACUUCUGAGCCCAAAAUUUAAAAACGAUAGUAAUAAUUAAAAAAAAAAGGCAUUUCUCUAUAAGGUUGUGUAAAGUGAAUAAAUUUGUACCCAAGCAAAAGAAAUAGUGUUAUAUGCAGAAUGACAUUCAGCUUCAACCACUGAUGUCUAAAAUAACUACCUGAAAUUCACAAGACAUUGGUCCACUGCAGUAAGGUGAAAGGGGAGCACAAAAAUGGAAAAAGGAAUCACAUAAUUAAAUCAACAAUAAAAUACAUUUAUGAAAAAGGCCCAUUAUCGCGCACACAGGGGGAAAAUUGGUAGAUUUGUACUACGACAAGUCCAUGUGACCCUAGCUUAGCUCAUGCAUACAAAACUUUCAUUUCUUGCUAGCCACUUUGAAAGUCCAUAUCAUAAAAUGGUAUAUAAACAUGAGUCAAAAUUAUUCCAAAUAAUGUAAGACUUGACCUUUUGUGAUAUCCUUAAAACUAUAACAAAUAUUAUGAACAAAAUAUUUCAAACAGUCAUAAAUAGACAUAGGCCCAUAACAAAAAGGUUUAUCCCCAUUGUCGAAUUUUCAUUGUAAAUGCAAUCACUAAACCCGCUCCAGCCUAGCCUUCUAUCUUUAGCAAAGUAAAUCAUUUCUAUGUAAACGGCAUACUUAAACUUUUCUAAAGCCUUCACAUAAGAGUCAAUCAUUUUUUAAGCGGAUGUAUGAUUUGAGAAAGUACUUCAGUAGCAGCAGUGCUUCUAUGAAAGCCAACAUAUAACUUUGCUCAAAGUAAGUUCUCGUUCAACACAUUUUUCAAUUUCCAUAUAUAGCAAUGACCAUACAGGAAAUUAGAACCACAAGGCACCUAUUAGGAAAAUAAAUACAUGGGGAUAAUUAUAAGCAGAAGAGAGAGCAUUCGUGAAAACAGAAAGAAAUGGAAAGCAUUUCUUCAAUGAGGUUCUUGCCAUAGUGCAAACAAAGUUAGUUUUUUAUAAGCUUCUUUAAUACUCCCUCCGGAUUCAUAUAUAAACAAAAAAAUAGUCUCAUAUAUUAAAUUUAAAUAUAAGUAAAUCUAAUUAAUUGUCAUAUUUAAUGUUAUCAUUCCGAAAACAUCCUUUAUAUACUUUUUAUUCUAUUUUCAAUGACUUUUUUUUUUGUAUGAUAUCAAGUUUUAAUGAAGAAUAAUUUUAAAAUAAUUUUAUUUUUUACUUAAAAUUAAUAAAAUUAAAUGAUGUCAAUUAUUUUUUUAAUCAAUAUAAAAUUAGUUAAUUUUACUUACAUAUAAGUUUAAGAGGGAAUAACAUGUCACAAAAGUAAAAUUAAGGAUUAAGUAUCAAGUUAAUUUUAAGAGAACAAAAACUCAUUAACCAUUACACCACCCGACUACACUAACCGUCCUAAUAGUAUACUCCCUCCAUUCCUUUUUAAGGUUGUUUUGUAGGAACCAAGAAAAACAAUAAAUUUUCUUGAUUUUAAUAAAAUAAUCAUUAUGUUUCCUUUUUUACCCCUUUUUCUACUCACUCCACAAUAAAUACAUGCAUAAAAUAAUUAAUAUUAGAAAAUAAAGAAGAAUAUAAUUGAUAAAAGAAUAAUAAAUAUUAUCUUGAAUUUUACAAAACAUAUAUAUAGAAACUAAAAUUUUCCAAAAAUCCAACACAAAAAAAAAGAGGGAGUAUUAAUGAUGUUAAUCAUUUGUUACGAGUUUCCAUGUUAGUGUAUAAAAUAAGCAUGAAGUAUCCAUUUUAUUUUUGCUCAACAGCAACCAAUGAUCAUAAUAUUAAAAAGAUGUGUUACAGUGUUAGGUUGUCAUUCAAGUCAUAAGAUUGUCUUAAAUAAUGGCAAGACAAAUGCAGUGAUAUAUAAAUCUCAUUCAAGAUCGUAACUGGGUUGUAUCUAUAUUAGAUAAUUGCUAAUUAUGACUGACAUACUUGGCAUUGAACAUGCAUUUGUUGCAAAUGAAGUCUACAGUCUUUUCCUUCCAUGCCGACAAUUACACAGAUAAUUGACAAACCAGUAUUUCAAAUUCAAGGAGAACAAAAAUUAAGAUCAAAGAAAAAUGGCUACACAUUCUAAAAUUCAACCAAACCGGACCAUUAAUUAGUUAGCUCCAUAAUGGCCGCAACAAUGUCACCACCGGCUGCCUUCAGAGCUUUAACGGCUUUAGGUCUUGAAACACCAGCUUGAGUCAUCACCAACUCUAUGUCCUUGGGAUCUACACCAGCCUCAUCCACUUCCUCAUCAUCUUGAGCAACAGCAGAAGAUUCGGGCUUCAAUCCAUCAUUGCUCAAAUUAGGAGCCUUGAAUUGCUCUGCCGCCUGAGUUUGUAGCUGUGAGCUCAAGUCUUCAAUCUUGGCUUCCCCAAAUAUAAUGUACGUGUCAGAUGUUGGACUCUUGAAAACGUCUGGUUUUGAGAUUACGAACAGGAUCUAAACAAACAAAGUCCAAAGUUUCAAUUUUUACCAAAGCAAAAUAGAUCUGACAAAUGAAAAAGGGUGGUGAAAAGCGAAAAAGAUGAGUCAAAUGCUAACAUUCUUGCUCUUCUUGACUGUCACUCGACUGACACCUGUGACAGGUUUCAUUCCAAGUUUAAGCAUUGCCUUGCGACUCUUCUUUUCACUUCUGGUCUGCUUCGACCUACCAGAUGCAUCACCUUCUAGUCCUGCAAUAGAACACAAAUUCCUCUGAGAUUGUAAAUUGGAUCUAUCUUUGUAGCUUCAGUUCAUGUACAAAGAAAAUAUCAAUAUUAACUCAGUCAGACAGAACAUAGACUUGUUAUGAUCUCCAUGCAUGUUCAUUUUUAUUCUGAUACCAGAUCCAAGAUCCACCCAGCCUAUUAUGACAUUGGCAUUAUUUAUUACAAUUCUCGACUCAAGUCUAAAUACAGAACAAUCCUGAAAUGUAUAGACAUGACAUGGGACACGUGAUACAACUCAAAGACACAGAACAAAUUUUAAAAAUUGUACAAUGUAUAAAAUUAACAUAAAAUAUAAAUUUUAAAUCAAAUGAGAGAAUCAAUGUUUUAAAAAUGAACAUGAGUCAUUGUAGAUAUAAUAAAAUGCUACAAUUUAUCAAAUUAUUGUGAUUCACUUUAUAUUUAUUGGUAUAUAAGUUUAAAAAAUAGUAUAAAAUAGGUAAACUACAACUUAGUAUAUUUGCAGUGCCUGAAUAUUCAAUUUGCAUCAUUAAAUCAUGAGAAUGAUUACACAAACCACAUUUGUCCACAAUUUACUGCGAUAACAACAAAUGCGAUGAAAUCACAUCACAACUGUGACCAAUUUUUAAAACCUUGGUCCCUUGUAAGUCGAGACAAGCCAAAUUAAUCUAAAAACCAUGUACAUUCUUUUCCCGUACGAUAUAAUUCCAACCAAACUAUUGAAGGAGUGCUACUAAACCUUUGCCAAAUGCAAGAAUGAAAGUGAGCAAGUCAUGAGCACUCUUCAGUUAAUCUCAUUUACCAACUUACCUUCGUCAUGGUCAUCAUCCUCAUCGUCAUCAUCAUCAUCCACUUCCUCGUCAUCAUCAUCCUCGACGACAGGUUCAUCAUCCUACAAAAGAUAUUAUUCAAAUGUUCAAAAUACUAGAAACAGCAAAUAGUAGGUUGUUAGAUAUGGAGUGGAUUGGAAAAUAAUGGGAUGGAAUGAAUUAAAAUGUUAUUUUACUGUUAGGAUAUUCUAUAAUAGAAUGCAAUGGAGAUUCCAUUCCAUUGUUAGGAAAAAAGACAGAACGAAAUAAGUUAUAACUCGAUAGUUUCUAUAUUACCCCAAUCACUUUCAAAGGAUUACGUUUAUUUAGCUGGUCAAAAUAGGGAUUUUUUAUUUUAAAAGAUUAGCUACAUCCCCUACACCCCAAAUUGAGAGAGAAUAAAAAUUGGACUAAAUGGAAUGGGAUGAAUCAGGUCCCAUCCCGAUCUAUUAUUAGUUUUUCACAAAAGAAACAAUCAAUCGACUUUCUCAUCCAAUCCACCAUCUACCAUCAAUCCAAACACAGGCUAAGGUUAUGCUGAAAAACAAAAAUAAUAUUCAGAGACACUUUCUGCUGUUAGUUGUAAUUGUUCUUCUAGAACAGUAACUGAGGUUUUUUUUUUCUAAAGACGGAGUUCUUCUACUAAGUUUGAUUUGAAAACUAAACUCUUCUUUUUCAUAAAAAUUGCUGAAUCCCCAGAAACCUUUCAAUUGAUUGCACAGAAAAAAGUUCAGCUUAACCAAUAGAAAACCUAGUAAUUUACACUCUCUUCCUCAUCUCUAGUUACUGAUCGAAUCCCUAAUGAAAAAACAAAGAAGGCAAACUGCAUAAAAAUUACAAAGCUAUCAAAAACCUCAAUAUUCUCGAAUAAUAAUAAAUAAAAAAACACCUUAACAGUAACCCAUUACUACUAGUCCUUCAAAGUCCACAGGCUACAAAUCCUAAAAUAGUUAAGUGAUGAAAAACAUUUGCACAUAAUCAAACUCAAUUGGAGUGUUUCGAAUCCAAUUCAAAAUUAAGGAAAAUAACGCAUAAAAGGAAAAGGAGAGAGUUUUUAAUGUGGAUUACAUGGAUCUUUUGCUGUUCGAGGUGUUGCGCAAGAAGCUCCUCUUGGGUCUGCGCAGUCAUAGUAACUUAGAUUUAGUGUCACAAAUUGGAUUCUGCAGCAGUGGAUCUCAACACAU
rnacentral:lncRNA from 1 species